rnacentral:rRNA from 1 species
UACGGGGGGCGAAGCGUUGUUCGGAAUUACUGGGCGUAAAGGGCUCGUAGGUGGCCAACUAAGUCAGACGUGAAAAUCCCUCGGCUUAACCGGGGAACUGCGUCUGAUACUGGAUGGCUUGAGUUCGGGAGGAGGGAUGCGGAAUUCCAGGUGUAGCGGUGAAAUGCGCAGAUAUCAGGAGGAACACCGAUGCGAAGGCAGCUCGCUGGGACGUCAACUGACGCUGAGACGCGAAAGCGUGGGGAGCAAACAGG